AUUGAACGCUGGCGGCAGGCCUAACACAUGCAAGUCGAGCGGAUGAAGGGAGCUUGCUCCUGGAUUCAGCGGCGGACGGGUGAGUAAUGCCUAGGAAUCUGCCUGGUAGUGGGGGAUAACGUCCGGAAACGGGCGCUAAUACCGCAUACGUCCUGCGGGAGAAAGUGGGGGAGCUUCGGACCUCACGCUAUCAGAUGAGCCUAGGUCGGAUUAGCUAGUUGGUGGGGUAAAGGCCUACCAAGGCGAGGAUCCGUAACUGGUCUGAGAGGAGGAUCAGUCACACUGGAACUGAGACAGGGUCAAGACUCCUACGGGAGGCAGCAGUGGGGAAUAUUGGACAAUGGGCGAAAGCCUGAUCCAGCCAUGCCGCGUGUGUGAAGAAGGCCUUCGGAUCGUAAAGCACUUUAAGUUGGGAGGAAGGGCAGUAAGUUAAUACCUUGCUGUUUUGACGUUACCAACAGAAUAAGCACCGGCUAACUUCGUG
rnacentral:rRNA from 1 species